UACGGAGGAUCCAAGCGUUAUCCGGAAUCAUUGGGUUUAAAGGGUUCCGUAGGCGGCCCUGUAAGUCAGUGGUGAAAUCUUUCGGCUCAACCGGAAAAUUGCCAUUGAUACUGCAGGGCUUGAAUUAUUGGGAAGUAACUAGAAUAUGUAGUGUAGCGGUGAAAUGCUUAGAGAUUACAUGGAAUACCGGAUUGCGAAGGCAGGUUACUAUCAAUUAAUUGACGCUGAUGGACGAAAGCGUGGGGAGCGAACAGG
rnacentral:rRNA from 1 species